rnacentral:tRNA from 1 species
GGGCCUUUAGCUCAGUUGGUUAGAGCAACCGGCUCAUAACCGGUUGGCCCGGGGUUCGAGUCCCUGAAGGCCCACCA